ensembl:snRNA U6 U6 spliceosomal RNA
GGGCUCCCUUCAGCAGUACACAUACUAAAAUUGGAAAGAUACAGAGAAGAUUAACAUGGCCCUGAGAAAGGAUGACAUGCAAAUUUGUGAAGCGUUCCAUAUUUUU